UACGUAGGCAGCGAGCGUUGUUCGGAGUUAUUGGGCGUAAAGGGUGCGUAGGCGGCGGAGUAAGUUGGGUGUGAAAUCCCGGGGCUCAACCUCGGAAUUGCAUUCAAUACUGCUUCGCUAGAGUACUGGAGAGGAGGCUGGAAUUUACGGUGUAGCAGUGAAAUGCGUAGAUAUCGUAAGGAAGGCCGGUGGCGAAAGCGAGCCUCUGGACAGUUACUGACGCUGAUGCACGAAGGCCAGGGGAGCAAACGGG
rnacentral:rRNA from 1 species